UACAGAGGGGGCACGCGUUGUUCGGAAUUACUGGGCGUAAAGGGCGCGUAGGUGGCCUUCUAAGUUGAACGUGAAAUCCCUGGGCUCAACCCAGGAACUGCGUCCAAGACUGGGAGGCUUGAAUCCGGGAGAGGGAUGCGGAAUUCCAGGUGUAGCGGUGAAAUGCGUAGAUAUCUGGAGGAACACCGGUGGCGAAGGCGGCAUCCUGGACCGGUAUUGACACUGAGGCGCGAAAGCCAGGGGAGCAAACGGG
rnacentral:rRNA from 1 species